AAUUCGAAAUUUUACCCUACAAGAACACAUAGCUAACAGCUAACUGUGUUAACCAAAUUCUGAUUCACAGUUAUCAGACCUGGUAGAAUCAGAUCAAUAAAGAAAUAAGGCAGAAAUCUGGGUUUUAGAAGCUCACCUGGACGUCCAUGUUCGGGGACAACACCCCAAUUUUGUCAACACUGGUAUGACAUUAGAAAGUUUUACAGAUUUUUUGGCGUAUUGCAUAGAAAUCCCCAAAAACAAAACAAAAAACAAAAAACGAAGAAAAUAUAUCUCAAGGCAUCAGGGAGAGGUUUUGUAAGAAAUAAUAAAAUAGUGAAUCGAUUCUUGUUAUAUAUACUUAACUGAUCAAAGAAUAGAAACAAUAAUAAUUGAACAGUACCAACAAAGAAAAUCUUUUUUAUUGAUAAAGUAAAUGCAGAACAAAAUCUGAAAAAAAACUAAUAUCUCGGAAUACAGAAUAACAUUUGAAAAUAUUAUAAUGCUCCAAUCAAAUAAUCCUUGUAGUUGUAUUUAUUAAAAUCAGUGAAUCAAUAUUUAACCUUUCAAUA